rnacentral:rRNA from 1 species
AGCGAACGCUGGCGGCAGGCCUAACACAUGCAAGUCGAACGAACCCUUCGGGGUUAGUGGCGGACGGGUGAGUAACACGUGGGAACGUGCCUUUAGGUUCGGAAUAACUCAGGGAAACUUGUGCUAAUACCGAAUGUGCCCUUCGGGGGAAAGAUUUAUCGCCUUUAGAGCGGCCCGCGUCUGAUUAGCUAGUUGGUGAGGUAAAGGCUCACCAAGGCGACGAUCAGUAGCUGGUCUGAGAGGAUGACCAGCCACAUUGGGACUGAGACACGGCCCAAACUCCUACGGGAGGCAGCAGUGGGGAAUCUUGCGCAAUGGGCGAAAGCCUGACGCAGCCAUGCCGCGUGGAUGAUGAAGGUCUUAGGAUUGUAAAAUCCCUUCACCGGUGAAGAUAAUGACUGUAGCCGGAGAAGAAGCCCCGGCUAACUUCGUGCCAGCCGCCGCUGUAAGAC